rnacentral:tmRNA from 1 species
GGGGAUGACUGGUUUCGACUUGGAACGGUAGUUCUAGGAGAAGCGGGCCGAGGACUCAGGGUUAUCUCGUUAACGAUCCUUGAAACCAAUAAGUGCCAACGAUGUUCGCACCAACUUCGCUCUUGCAGCCUGAUCUGCAACCGAAGGGUCAGCCUAGAGGUGCCUUCCCUCUAGUACCUGGCCUCGUUUAGAAGGCUAACUUAGGUACCCUUGUCCUAGGGGUACCAUAGGACAUUCAUAGUGACUGGGCUUGUUCAUGACGUGCAACCGAGAGCAUGAAAGCCGAGAAAUACGACAAGAGUAGCUGCGCCCGGAGAAUGCCUAGUUCGCCUUUCGAGGACGGGGGUUCGACUCCCCCCAUCUCCACUU